rnacentral:rRNA from 1 species
AGAACGAACGCUGGCGGCAUGCCUAAUACAUGCAAGUCGAACGAACACUUCGGUGUUAGUGGCGCACGGGUGCGUAACGCGUGGGAAUCUGCCCUUGGGUUCGGAAUAACAGUUGGAAACGACUGCUAAUACCGGAUGAUGACGAAAGUCCAAAGAUUUAUCGCCCAGGGAUGAGCCCGCGUAGGAUUAGCUAGUUGGUGAGGUAAAGGCUCACCAAGGCGACGAUCCUUAGCCUGGUCUAGAGAGGAUGAUCAGCCACGACUGGGACUGACGACAACGGCCCAGGACUCCGUACGGGAGCGAGCCGAGUACGGGAAUAGUUGGAACAAGUGGGGACACGAAGCC